AAGCUAUUAGUUUUCCUACCUGAUUUCUUAUAUGUUACUUUGUGCGAAUCAUAGAAACGUAAAGCCUUGACCUAAUUGUUAAUAGGUCAAUGAGUUUGUGUUCUGUUCAAUCUAUCUGUUAUCUUUUAACUCGAUUUAUUUGUGGUGUAAAGUGUGAUACUUUUAAUGAUAUAUAAAUAUUGUAAUUACAGAACUGUUUUGGAAUUUGUAGUGUCUCUAUAUUUUCAAUUGAACUGUAAAACCACAUCAUAGGUGCCACUUUGAGGUAGAAAUUACAGAUGAAACAGGCACGACGACAGCAACAGUGUCUGAAGGCUUGGGCGAAAGGAUGUUGUCAACGACAGCUGAACAAAUAUACGAUAUCAUCAACAUUAAGAAUGAGUUAUUCCCUGUUGCCCAUAUCAAUCAACUACUUGCAGAUAAACUGUUCAGAAUUCAACUACAAAGGUCAUCAUCCAGAACACCAGACAAAAAUGCAGGUUCUCUGGUCCUUUUAUCAUACACAUAAAAACCAACCAUGUUUCUACCAGAAGAGUCAGCAUCUGUGGGUGAUGCCGAGAGAAUUAUGGAAGAAGAGUCAAUACUUGGGGCUAAUGCAAAAGCAACUAAGAAACGGAAAAGGGAACCAAGUACUCUACUAAAGCCGCAGUCAAGAUUGUCAAGGCAGUGAUGUUCGCUGAAAUGGUAUGCGAUGUACAGAGACAUUUUGACAGAUCAUACCGAUCUUUUAACAAGGUUUAGAUAUUUGGCCGCCUUAACAAAAUGUUUCACAUUUUUUGCCUAAAUAGUUGUCAGUAGUGUAUGCCUAUGUUUUUGAAGUCAAUUGGUAUUAUUUUUUGGAUCUUGGA